rnacentral:rRNA from 1 species
ACCGUGAAACUGCGAAUGGCUCAUUAAAUCAGUUAUCGUUUAUUUGAUAGUACCUUACUACUUGGAUAACCGUGGUAAUUCUAGAGCUAAUACAUGCUAAAAACCCCGACUUCGGGAGGGGUGUAUUUAUUAGAUAAAAAACCAAUGCCCUUCGGGGCUCCUUGGUGAAUCAUAAUAACUUAACGGAUCGCAUGGCCUUGCGCCGGCGACGGUUCAUUCAAAUUUCUGCCCUAUCAACUUUCGAUUGUAGGGUAUUGGCCUACAAUGGUAUCAACGGGUAACGGGGAAUUAGGGUUCGAUUCCGGAGAGGGAGCCUGAGAAACGGCUACCACAUCCAAGGAAGGCAGCAGGCGCGCAAAUUACCCAAUCCCGACACGGGGAGGUAGUGACAAUAAAUACUGAUACAGGGCUCUUUUGGGUCUUGUAAUUGGAAUGAGUACAAUUUAAAUCCCUUAACGAGGAACAAUUGGAGGGCAAGUCUGGUGCCAGCAGCCGCGGUAAUUCCAGCUCCAAUAGCGUAUAUUAAAGUUGUUGCAGUUAAAAAGCUCGUAGUUGAACCUUGGGUCUGGCUGGCCGGUCCGCCUCACCGCGUGCACUGGUCCGGCCGGACCUUUCCUUCUGGAGAACCGCAUGCCCUUCACUGGGUGUGCCGGGGAACCAGGACUUUUACUUUGAAAAAAUUAGAGUGUUCAAAGCAGGCCUUUGCUCGAAUACAUUAGCAUGGAAUAAUAGAAUAGGACGUGCGGUCCUAUUUUGUUGGUUUCUAGGACCGCCGUAAUGAUUAAUAGGGAUAGUCGGGGGCAUCAGUAUUCAAUUGUCAGAGGUGAAAUUCUUAGAUUUAUUGAAGACUAACUACUGCGAAAGCAUUUGCCAAGGAUGUUUUCAUUAAUCAGUGAACGAAAGUUAGGGGAUCGAAGACGAUCAGAUACCGUCGUAGUCUUAACCGUAAACUAUGCCGACUAGGGAUCGGGCGAUGUUAUUCUUUUGACUCGCUCGGCACCUUACGAGAAAUCAAAGUUUUUGGGU